AUCAGUCUUUUCAAUCUGUUC
ensembl:piRNA 21ur-4493 ncRNA